GGGCGGUUAGCUCAGUUGGUAGAGCAGCGGACUUUUAAUCCGUUGGUCGGGAGUUCAAGUCUCCCACCGCCUA
rnacentral:tRNA from 1 species